CUGGGACAAAUGUUAAGCUAGUUACUUGUUGGGCUAAAAUAAUGAAAGCCUACGGAAGAGAAGCUACUUAUAAAAUCACAGUAAUUUCCAGCUUCACCAGAGGAGGGCGCUAAAUCGGCCCGGCCCGGCCCAACUAUAUGUCUAUCACCUCAGAUUAAGAUCUGUAAGAUGUUAAUAUUAGUGCAUAUAUAAUAUAGAAAUCAAAGAACAUGCAACACUCUUCCUAUCAAUAAAAAAUAUAUAUAAAGGAAUAAUUCAUUAAAUUAAUAACAAUAAUUUAUUUUUAUUUAAUGACUUAUCAAACCUGUGAUUAUCACAUUGAAUCCACAUUCAGCCAUGCACAGAGAAAGAUAGAGAGAGAGAGCAAUGGAGAACAUGAAUCUCAAAGUAGAACAAGUAUGCAGAGUUGUAACAAAAACUCAAAAAUAACAUCAUAAAACAUCAUUCUUGAAAGAUCCCCAGAGAGGAAACCAAGAAUUAUAUCAAUACUUACAAAAUUAAACACUUGUUUUUCUUCCAUAUCUAUAUUCUUGUUUGCUUUGCCUGGCUUCACCCUGUGUGCCAUAUACAUGUAUAUAUAUAUAUAUAUACAUACACCUGUAAGUAUAGGCCAAAAGUGGGGAGAGAGCUCGCGAGAGAGCUGAGUUGGUUUUAAUGGACGGAGAUCACAAGCCUCCGCAAGCUCUGCCAAACUUGGUGGAGGUGUCGGUGCCACCCCGCCACCAAGUUUGGCGGAGUUAAGAAGAAGAAAGAAAUGGGUCAAGGAUCAUGGUGAAAAGUUGGGGUUUUGAGUCUCUAUAUGUAUUAUGUAUAUGUUCAGGUUACUCGUAUUCACUGUUCUUAGUGGCCCUUCCUUUCCAGUUUCAGGACGUGGAGCUGAGCUGUGUUGAAGCUACAAUUACAAGAAUGCCAUUAUCUCUGUAUUUCCAUUUAAUUCUAUUGGAUUACUAGUAUUUAUUAAUAAUUUAUUUAUCUAUUUUUACAUGAAGAGAAUCUACAAGUAAUGGAUAAAAAUGUAAAACACUAUACAGG
rnacentral:lncRNA from 1 species